rnacentral:lncRNA from 1 species
AAACAGACAUCGGCAAUUCACCAGUAUGGAUCGUUGUACUAAUGCAGCUAAAAAUAAAUAUAAGAAAGAAAGUGAUAUCCCUUUCAGUUUUGAAAAAGGUUCAUUGAGGAUCCAAGACUUUCCACAUUAACAAAACAAGAUAAACUCUUCAUUCAAACAUGUACUAAUCCUUUCCAUCACAACAAAAACCACAGUAGUGCCCCAAACAAACAAAUUUCAGAGCUUUUCUAAGCUAAGACUAGACUCUAUUUCACAUACACGUAGGUAUACGUCUAUAGAUUACUUUACAACAUACAUAAUUAUAUGGAAAUAUCCACCU